rnacentral:rRNA from 1 species
AACGAACGCUGGCGGCAUGCCUAACACAUGCAAGUCGAACGCGUGGCUUCGGCCACGAGUGGCGCACGGGUGAGUAGCGCGUGGGAACCUGCCCUUGGGUUCGGAAUAACCGCGGGAAACUGCGGCUAAUACCGAAUGUCCCCUGCGGGGGAAAGAUUUAUCGCCCAAGGAGGGGCCCGCGUCCGAUUAGGUAGUUGGUGAGGUAACGGCUCACCAAGCCUUCGAUCGGUAGCUGGUCUGAGAGGAUGAUAAGCCACACUGGGACUGAGACACGGCCCAGACUCCUACGGGAGGCAGCAGUGGGGAGUAUUGGACAAUGGGGGAAACCCUGAUCCAGCAAUGCCGCGUGAGUGAUGAAGGCCUUCGGGUUGUAAAGCUCUUUCGCCCACGACGAUGGUGACGGUAGUGGGAGAAGAAGCCCCGGCUAACUUCGUGCCAGCAGCCGCCGUAAAAC